rnacentral:rRNA from 1 species
UACGGGAGGCAGCAGUGGGGAAUAUUGCACAAUGGGCGCAAGCCUGAUGCAGCCAUGCCGCGUGUAUGAAGAAGGCCUUCGGGUUGUAAAGUACUUUCAGUCGUGAGGAAGGUGUUAAGGUUAAUAACCUUAGCAAUUGACGUUAGCGACAGAAGAAGCACCGGCUAACUCCGUGCCAGCAGCCGCGGUAAUACGGAGGGUGCGAGCGUUAAUCGGAAUUACUGGGCGUAAAGGGCACGCAGGCGGUUAAUUAAGUUGGAUGUGAAAUCCCCGGGCUUAACCUGGGAAUGGCAUUCAAGACUGGUUAGCUAGAGUCUUGUAGAGGGGGUAGAAUUCCAUGUGUAGCGGUGAAAUGCGUAGAGAUGUGGAGGAAUACCGGUGGCGAAGGCGGCCCCUGGACAAAGACUGACGCUUAUGUGCGAAAGCGUGGGGAGCAAACAGGGAUUAGAUACC